rnacentral:rRNA from 1 species
GACAUAGGGUGGCGAACGUUAUCCGGAAUUAUUGGGCGUAAAGAGCUCGUAGGCGGUUUGUCGCGUCUGCCGUGAAAAGUCCGGGGCUCAACUCCGGAUCUGCGGUGGUACGGGCAGACUAGAGUGAUGUAGGGGAGACUGGAAUUCCUGGUGUAGCGGUGAAAAUGCGCAGAUAUCAGGAGGAACACCGAUGGCGAAGGCAGGUCUCUGGGCAUUAACUGACGCUGAGGAGCGAAAGCAUGGGGAGCGAACAGG